rnacentral:rRNA from 1 species
AUACAGAGGGUGCAAGCGUUAAUCGGAAUUACUGGUCGUAAAGCGCGCGUAGGCGGUUUAAUCAGUCGGAUGUGAAAGCCCCGGGCUCAACCUGGGAACUGCAUUCGAUACUGUUAAGCUAGAGUAUGGUAGAGGGAAGUGGAAUUCCAGGUGUAGCGGUGAAAUGCGUAGAUAUCUGGAUGAACAUCAGUGGCGAAGGCGACUUCCUGGACCAAUACUGACGCUGAGGUGCGAAAGCGUGGGGAGCAAACAGGAUUAGAUACCCUAGUAGUCC